AGCUGGCAUAUUCUCCAUUUACCAGACUUUUAAAAGAUACUAAUAUGACCUAUUGAUAUCACAUGAUUCACAGUGUCUCCGUAUUAGUACUUCCUCAUUAUGCACAAAGAGGAAGAAAUAAGAUGGCUGUUUUGUGCAUAUUUAUUACACUGAUUGUAGUUGCAAACGUGAAUUCAAUUCAAACGAAAUACUUUAAAUCAACUUGCAACAAAACUGUACCAAUACCAGAAGAGGGAGAUAUUCUAUUCGUAAUAGACAAGUCGCAUCGUUUGUCGAAAAGCCGUGCAUGCACAGUGUUUGUCUUAAAUCCAAACUCAUCGUCACGUGUAUUAGUAUAUUUGAACAUAUUCAAAAUUGAUUCUUCUAAAGGGUGCAGACAAUCUGGUUUGGAUAUUUUUGAUGACCAUGGAAAAAACAAGACACUGACAGGUCCAAACGGGUUAUGUGGCUCUGUUAAAAAAGAUUUGUACAACUCCACGCAACAGAAUAUGACGUUUACCGUCCAUGAUAAAAAAGGCACAGCUACAAUCACUCUACUGGUAACGUCGGCUAGAAAAGCUAAAAAAGGAGCAUGUCAUGGAAACGAAUUGAACUGUGAAAAUGACUUUUGUAUUCCUGGAAAUUUGGCAUGCAAUGGAUACAAUAACUGCGGAAAUGGCAUCGAUGAAUUGACAUGCGUAUUAGCAUUAGCAGUUGGUGUUAUCAUUGCCAUAGUCAUUGGUGCUAUUUUGGCGAUCGCAUGCCUCACAACUGUCAUCAUCUGCGUGGUAUGCCGUCCACGCCAUAGAAGGCGGUAUCGUCAAAUAUAGUUAUUGGCAGUAAAAUUGGACAAAGUCGGUUUACUCAUGA